CUUGGUUGAUCCUGCCAGUAGUCAUAUGCUUGUCUCAAAGAUUAAGCCAUGCAUGUGUAAGUAUGAACUAAUUCAGACUGUGAAACUGCGAAAGGUUCAUUAAAUUAGUUAUAGUUUGUUUGAUGGUAUUUGCUACUCGGAUAAUCGUAGUAAUUCUAGAGCUAAUACGUGCAACAAACCCCGACUUCUGGAAGGGAUGAUUUAUUAGAUAAAAGGUUGACACAGGCUCUACCCAUUGCUCUGAUGAUUAAUGAUAACUUGACGGAUCACACGACCAUAGUGCCGACGACGCAUCAUUCAAACUUCUACCCUAUCAACUUUCGAUGGUAGGAUAGUGGCCUACUAUGGUGGUGACGGCUAACGGAGAAUUAGGGUUCAAUUCCGGAGAGGGAGCCUGAGAAACGGAUACCACAUCCAAGGAAGGCAGCAGGCACGUAAAUUACCUAAUCCUGACACAGGGAGGUAGUGACAAUAAAUAACAAUACUAGGCUCUUCGAGUCUGGUAAUUGGAAUGAGUACAAUCUAAAUCCUUUAACGAGGAUCAAUUGGAGGGCAAGUCUUGUGCCAGUAGCCGUGGUAAUUCCAGCUCCAAUACCGUAUAUUUAAGUUGUUGCAGUUAAAAAGCUCAUAGUUUGACCUUGGGUUGGGUGAAUCGAUCUGCCUAUGUGAGCACCGGUUGGCUAUUCCCUUCUGUCGGUGAUGCGCUCCUGACCUUAAUUGGUUGGGUCGUCCCUCCGACACUGUUACUUUGAAGAAAUUAGAGUGCUCAAAGCAAACCUAAGCUCUAUAUACAUUAGCAUGGUAUAACAUCAUAUGAUUUUGAUCCUAUUUUGUUGACCUACGGGAUCAGAGUAAUGAUUAACAGGGACAGUCGAGGGGCAUUCGUAUUUCAUAGUCAGAGGUGAAAUUCUUGGAUUUAUGAAAGAUGAACAACUGCAAUAACAUUUUCCAAGGAUGUUUUCAUUAACAAAGAACGAAAGUUGGGGGCUCGAAGACAAUCAGAUACCGUCCUAGUCUCAACCAUAAACGAUGCCAACCAGGGAUUGACGGAUGUUGCUUUAAGGACUCCACUAGCACCUUAUACGAUAUCAAAGUCUUCGGGUUUCAGGGGGAGUAUGGUUGCAAGGUUGAAACUUAAAGGAAUUGAUGGAAGGUCACCACCAGGAAUGGAGCCUGCGGCUUAAUUUUACUCAACGCGGAAAAACUUACCAGGUCCAGACAUAGUAAGGAUUGACAGACUGAGAGCUCUUUCUUGAUUUUAUGGGUGGUGGUGCAUGGUAAUUCUUAGUUGGUGGUGCAAUUUGUCUGGUUAAUUCCGUUAACGAAAUUUUUUUGUCAAGGGGAGCUUUCGUGCCCCCUCUGAUGUCUAAACCAAACCCGACGCAAGUCGUGCCAAGGAGCUCGAAUGAAUAAACUUGCCCCCUAUCCUGGUCUCAGUGUGUGAGGAAAAAAGCAUUCUUGUUGUACUAUUCACAAUGACUCUCGGCAAUGGAUAUCUCGUUUCUCGCAUCGAUAAAGAAUGUAGCAAAAUGUGAUACUUGGUGUGAAUUGCAGGAUCCCACGAACCACUAAGUCUUUGAACGCAAGUUGCACCCAGAGCCUUUUGGCCAAGGGCACGUCUGCCUGGGUGUCACGCAUCGCUGACCCCACAUGCAACACCCACUUAGAUUUGUUGCACUAGCGGGGGCACAUGUUGGCCUCCCGUGAGCACCAUUGAACAGAUGGCUUAAAAUUGAGUCCUCGACAUCUAUUGUCGUGACACUACAGUGGUUGAUUCAACCUCGGUAC
rnacentral:rRNA from 1 species